rnacentral:rRNA from 1 species
GAUGAACGCUGGCGGCGUGCCUAAUACAUGCCAGUCGAGCGAACGGACGAGAAGCUUGCUUCUCUGAUGUUAGCGGCGGACGGGUGAGUAACACGUGGAUAACCUACCUAUAAGACUGGGAUAACUUCGGGAAACCGGAGCUAAUACCGGAUAAUAUUUUGAACCGCAUGGUUCAAAAGUGAAAGACGGUCUUGCUGUCACUUAUAGAUGGAUCCGCGCUGCAUUAGCUAGUUGGUAAGGUAACGGCUUACCAAGGCAACGAUGCAUAGCCGACCUGAGAGGGUGAUCGGCCACACUGGAACUGAGACACGGUCCAGACUCCUACGGGAGGCAGCAGUAGGGAAUCUUCCGCAAUGGGCGAAAGCCUGACGGAGCAACGCCGCGUGAGUGAUGAAGGUCUUCGGAUCGUAAAACUUUGUUAUUAGGGAAGAACAUAUGUGUAAGUAACUGUGCACAUCUUGACGGUACCUAAUCAGAAAGCCACGGCUAACUACGUG